rnacentral:rRNA from 1 species
AUUGAACGCUGGCGGCAGGCUUAACACAUGCAAGUCGAGCGGAGCGAGGGUGCUUGCACCUUAGCUUAGCGGCGGACGGGUGAGUAACGCUUAGGAAUCUGCCUAUUAGUGGGGGACAACAUUCCGAAAGGAAUGCUAAUACCGCAUACGCCCUACGGGGGAAAGCAGGGGAUCUUCGGACCUUGCGCUAAUAGAUGAGCCUAAGUCGGAUUAGCUAGUUGGUGGGGUAAAGGCCUACCAAGGCGACGAUCUGUAGCGGGUCUGAGAGGAUGAUCCGCCACACUGGGACUGAGACACGGCCCAGACUCCUACGGGAGGCAGCAGUGGGGAAUAUUGGACAAUGGGCGGAAGCCUGAUCCAGCCAUGCCGCGUGUGUGAAGAAGGCCUUUUGGUUGUAAAGCACUUUAAGCGAGGAGGAGGCUCUUAAGGUUAAUACCCUUGAUGAGUGGACGUUACUCGCAGAAUAAGCACCGGCUAACUCUGUGCCAGCAGCCGCCGUAA